UUGGUAGAAAAUUAGAAAAUCUUAGUAUGCCUGUCGAUACACAGUGAUGUUCUGCCACGGAUGGCAGAACAAGACUUCAUGAGCCAUGGAUGGCUCAUUGAAGCCGUUCACGUCAUUUUUCGGACACCUUUAUUAGGCAUACUUAGUAUUUCUUAUUUUCGGAC
rnacentral:ncRNA from 1 species